AGUGGCGGACGGGUGAGUAACGCGUGAGAAUCUGCCCUCAGGAGGGGGAUAACAGUUGGAAACGACUGCUAAUACCCCAUAUGCCGAGAGGUGAAACGAAUUUCGCCUGGGGAUGAGCUCGCGUCUGAUUAGCUUGUUGGUGGGGUAAUGGCUUACCAAGGCUUCGAUCAGUAGCUGGUCUGAGAGGACGAUCAGCCACACUGGGACUGAGACACGGCCCAGACUCCUACGGGAGGCAGCAGUGGGGAAUUUUCCGCAAUGGGCGCAAGCCUGACGGAGCAACGCCGCGUGAGGGAUGGAGGCCUUUGGGCUGUAAACCUCUUUUCUCAAGGAAGAAGAUCUGACGGUACUUGAGGAAUAAGCCACGGCUAAUUCCGUGCCAGCAGCCGCGGUAAUACGGGAGUGGCAAGCGUUAUCCGGAAUUAUUGGGCGUAAAGCGUCCGCAGGCGGCCGUUUAAGUCUGUUGUUAAAUCGUGGAGCUCAACUCCAUCACGGCAAUGGAAACUGUUCGGCUUGAGUAUGGUAGGGGCAGAGGGAAUUUCCGGUGUAGCGGUGAAAUGCGUAGAUAUCGGGAAGAACACCAGUGGCAAAAGCGCUCUGCUGGGCCAUUACUGACGCUCAUGGACGAAAGCCAGGGGAGCGAAAGGGAUUAGAUACCCCUGUAGUCCUGGCCGUAAACGAUGAACACUAGAUGUUGGGGGAAUCGACCCCCUCGGUGUCGUAGCUAACGCGUUAAGUGUUCCGCCUGGGGAGUACGCACGCAAGUGUGAAACUCAAAGGAAUUGACGGGGGCCCGCACAAGCGGUGGAGUAUGUGGUUUAAUUCGAUGCAACGCGAAGAACCUUACCAAGGCUUGACAUCCUGCGAAUCUCCAAGAAAUUGGAGAGUGCCUUUUGGAACGCAGUGACAGGUGGUGCAUGGCUGUCGUCAGCUCGUGUCGUGAGAUGUUGGGUUAAGUCCCGCAACGAGCGCAACCCACGUUUUUAGUUGCCAGCAUUCAGUUGGGCACUCUAGAAAGACUGCCGGUGACAAACCGGAGGAAGGUGUGGACGACGUCAAGUCAUCAUGCCCCUUACGCCUUGGGCUACACACGUACUACAAUGCUGCGGACAAAGAGUAGCGAUCUUGCGAAAGUUAGCUAAUCUCGUAAACUGUGGCUCAGUUCAGAUCGUAGGCUGCAACUCGCCUACGUGAAGGAGGAAUCGCUAGUAAUCGCAGGUCAGCAUACUG
rnacentral:rRNA from 1 species